rnacentral:rRNA from 1 species
UUUAAAAUGAGAGUUUGAUCCUGGCUCAGGACGAACGCUGGCGGCGUGCCUAAUACAUGCAAGUCGAGCGAGCGGAACUAACAGAUUUAC